AGAGAGAGACAUGCGCGCAUAUCAAUAAGCGGAGGAAAAGAAACUAACCAGGAUUCCCUCAGUAACGGCGAGUGAAGCGGGAAGAGCUCAAAUUUGAAAUCUUCAAGGUUCUACCUUGACGAAUUGUAGUUUAAAGAAGUGUUUUCUGUUGAAGUUUUGGUAAAAGUUCUUUGGAAUAGGACAUCAUAGAGGGUGAGAAUCCCGUAUUUGACCAUUAUUUCCAGCUUUGUGAUACACUUUCAAAGAGUCGGAUUGUUUGGGAAUGCAGUCCAAAAUGGGUGGUAAAUUUCAUCUAAAGCUAAAUACUGGCGAGAGACCGAUAGCGAACAAGUACCGUGAGGGAAAGAUGAAAAGAACUUUGAAAAGAGAGUUAAACAGUACGUGAAAUUGUCAAAAGGGAAGCGUUUGACACCAGUGUUGUUUUCUCGAAAAUCAAUUAAAAAAGGCAGGAUUUUGUGUUGUAUUGACUUUAUCAGCUUUCUGCACUCUUUUCUUGUCUUUUUUAAUGCACUUUUCGUUUAACAAGUCAACAUCAAUUUCUUUUGUUGUAAAAGGGUCAUUGGAAGGUGGCUUUCUUUUCGGAGAAAGUGUUUAUAGCCUUUGGCCUCUGCAAUCGGAGAGAUUGAGGUCUGCAGCGUAGAUCCUUCGGGGUUAGAUACAUUUGUGCUAAGUUAUAGCCUUUCAUAGACAACUUGUUGACUAUGAUCAGUCAUGUAGCUUACUCGCUUAUGCUAUUUUACCUACGCUUAGGAUGUUGAUGUGAUACUGCGAGCA
rnacentral:rRNA from 1 species